rnacentral:rRNA from 1 species
AUUGAGCGCUGGCGGCAUGCCUUACACAUGCAAGUCGAACGGCAGCACGGGUGCUUGCACCUGGUGGCGAGUGGCGAACGGGUGAGUAAUACAUCGGAACAUGUCCUGUAGUGGGGGAUAGCCCGGCGAAAGCCGGAUUAAUACCGCAUACGAUCUACGGAUGAAAGCGGGGGACCUUCGGGCCUCGCGCUAUCGGGUUGGCCGAUGGCUGAUUAGCUAGUUGGUGGGGUAAAGGCCUACCAAGGCGACGAUCAGUAGCUGGUCUGAGAGGACGACCAGCCACACUGGGACUGAGACACGGCCCAGACUCCUACGGGAGGCAGCAGUGGGGAAUUUUGGACAAUGGGCGAAAGCCUGAUCCAGCAAUGCCGCGUGUGUGAAGAAGGCCUUCGGGUUGUAAAGCACUUUUGUCCGGAAAGAAAUCCUUGGCCCUAAUACGGUCGGGGGAUGACGGUACCGGAAGAAUAAGCACCGGCUAACUACGUG